rnacentral:rRNA from 1 species
GAUGAACGCUGGCGGCGUGCCUAAUACAUGCAAGUCGAGCGAACAGACGAGGAGCUUUCUCCUCUGACUUUAUCGGCGGACGGGUGAGUAACACGUGGAUAACCUACCUAUAAGACUGGGAUAACUUCGGGAAACCGGAUCUAAUGCCGGAAAAUAUAUUGAACCGCAUGGUUCAAUAGUUAAAGACGGUUUUGCUUUCACUUAUAGCUGAAUCCGCGCCGCAUUAGCUAGUUGGUAAGGUAACGGCUUACCAAGGCAACGAUGGGUAGCCGACCUGAGAGGGUGAUCGGACACACUGGCACUGAGACACGGUCCACACACCGACGGUAGGACGCAGUAGGGACUCUUCCGCAAUGGGCGAGUGGGUGAUAUUGCACAGUGGCGUGAGUGCUGAAGGUGUUAGGCUCGUAGAGUUAUGUUAUUAGGAAAGUAGUAAUGUGCAAGUACCUGUGAACAUAUUGACGGUACCUGAUCAGAAAGCCACGGCUAACUACGUG